rnacentral:rRNA from 1 species
CAGUCGCCGCGGGAAUACAGAGGGUGCAAGCGUUAAUCGGAAUUACUGGGCGUAAAGCGCGCGUAGGUGGUUUGUUAAGUUGGAUGUGAAAGCCCCGGGCUCAACCUGGGAACUGCAUCCAAAACUGGCAAGCUAGAGUACGGUAGAGGGUGGUGGAAUUUCCUGUGUAGCGGUGAAAUGCGUAGAUAUAGGAAGGAACACCAGUGGCGAAGGCGACCACCUGGACUGAUACUGACACUGAGGUGCGAAAGCGUGGGGAGCAAACAGGAUUAGAUACCCCGGUAGUCCCUGUCUCUUAUAA